UUUCCGUAGGUGAACCUGCGGAAGGAUCAUUAAAGAGUAAGGGUCUUCGGGCCCGAUCUCCAACCCUUUGUUUAACUAGCAUGUUGCUUUGGCGGGCCCGUCUCACGACCGCCGGAAGUUUGGCUUCGACCAAACUCCUGGCCCGUGCCCGUCAGUGGCCCCUUCAAAUUCUUGAUCAAGUAUGAUGUCUUAGUUAAAAACUUAAUAGUUAAAACUUUCAACAACGGAUCUCUUGGUUCUG
rnacentral:misc_RNA from 1 species